rnacentral:sRNA from 1 species
GCUGGGUGUGGUGGCGCUUACCUGUAAUCUCAGCAAGGUGGGAGGCUGAGGCAGGAGGAUCUCAAGUUCAAGGCCAGUCUAAGCAACUUAGCAAGGUCCUAAGCAACUU